UGAUGACUGUUCCUCUCACUGCUACAAGCCUCAAACAGUGGGAUUUUAUGUCAUCAAAUACUAACAUGACCUUUCUUCACUCAAAAGUGUCUUUAGAUGGGUUGGCCAUCUGUGUGACACAGUUGAAUUUUGCAGGGUCGCACAUUC
rnacentral:snoRNA from 1 species